UUAAGCGACUAAGCGUACACGGUGGAUGCCCUGGCAGUCAGAGGCGAUGAAGGACGUGCUAAUCUGCGAUAAGCGUCGGUGAGGUGAUAUGAACCGUUAUAACCGGCGAUUUCCGAAUGGGGAAACCCAGUGUGUUUCGACACACUAUCAUUAACUGAAUCCAUAGGUUAAUGAGGCGAACCGGGGGAACUGAAACAUCUAAGUACCCCCGAGGAAAAGAAAUCAACCGAGAUUCCCCCCAGUAGCGGCGAGCGAACGGGGAGGAGCCCAGAGCCUGAAUCAGUGUGUGUGUUAGUGGAAGCGUCUGGAAAGGCGCGCGAUACAGGGUGACAGCCCCGUACACAAAAAUGCACAUAUUGUGAGCUCGAUGAGUAGGGCGGGACACGUGGUAUCCUGUCUGAAUAUGGGGGGACCAUCCUCCAAGGCUAAAUACUCCUGACUGACCGAUAGUGAACCAGUACCGUGAGGGAAAGGCGAAAAGAACCCCGGCGAGGGGAGUGAAAAAAGAACCUGAAACCGUGUACGUACAAGCAGUGGGAGCCUCUUAAUGGGGGUGACUGCGUACCUUUUGUAUAAUGGGUCAGCGACUUAUAUUCUGUAGCAAGGUUAACCGAAUAGGGGAGCCGAAGGGAAACCGAGUCUUAACUGGGCGUUAAGUUGCAGGGUAUAGACCCGAAACCCGGUGAUCUAGCCAUGGGCAGGUUGAAGGUUGGGUAACACUAACUGGAGGACCGAACCGACUAAUGUUGAAAAAUUAGCGGAUGACUUGUGGCUGGGGGUGAAAGGCCAAUCAAACCGGGAGAUAGCUGGUUCUCCCCGAAAGCUAUUUAGGUAGCGCCUCGUGAAUUCAUCUCCGGGGGGUAGAGCACUGUUUCGGCAAGGGGGUCAUCCCGACUUACCAACCCGAUGCAAACUGCGAAUACCGGAGAAUGUUAUCACGGGAGACACACGGCGGGUGCUAACGUCCGUCGUGAAGAGGGAAAACAACCCAGACCGCCAGCUAAGGUCCCAAAGUCAUGGUUAAGUGGGAAACGAUGUGGGAAGGCCCAGACAGCCAGGAUGUUGGCUUAGAAGCAGCCAUCAUUUAAAGAAAGCGUAAUAGCUCACUGGUCGAGUCGGCCUGCGCGGAAGAUGUAACGGGGCUAAACCAUGCACCGAAGCUGCGGCAGCGACACUAUGUGUUGUUGGGUAGGGGAGCGUUCUGUAAGCCUGUGAAGGUGUACUGUGAGGUAUGCUGGAGGUAUCAGAAGUGCGAAUGCUGACAUAAGUAACGAUAAAGCGGGUGAAAAGCCCGCUCGCCGGAAGACCAAGGGUUCCUGUCCAACGUUAAUCGGGGCAGGGUGAGUCGACCCCUAAGGCGAGGCCGAAAGGCGUAGUCGAUGGGAAACAGGUUAAUAUUCCUGUACUUGGUGUUACUGCGAAGGGGGGACGGAGAAGGCUAUGUUGGCCGGGCGACGGUUGUCCCGGUUUAAGCGUGUAGGCUGGUUUUCCGGGCAAAUCCGGAAAAUCAAGGCUGAGGCGUGAUGACGAGGCACUACGGUGCUGAAGCGACAAAUGCCCUGCUUCCGGGGAAAAGCCUCUAAGCAUCAGGUAACAUCAAAUCGUACCCCCAAACCGACACAGGUGGUCAGGUAGAGAAUACCAAGGCGCUUGAGAGAACUCGGGUGAAGGAACUAGGCAAAAUGGUGCCGUAACUUCGGGAGAAGGCACGCUGAUAUGUAGGUGAAGCGACUUGCUCGUGGAGCUGAAAUCAGUCGAAGAUACCAGCUGGCUGCAACUGUUUAUUAAAAACACAGCACUGUGCAAACACGAAAGUGGACGUAUACGGUGUGACGCCUGCCCGGUGCCGGAAGGUUAAUUGAUGGGGUUAGCGGUAACGCGAAGCUCUUGAUCGAAGCCCCGGUAAACGGCGGCCGUAACUAUAACGGUCCUAAGGUAGCGAAAUUCCUUGUCGGGUAAGUUCCGACCUGCACGAAUGGCGUAAUGAUGGCCAGGCUGUCUCCACCCGAGACUCAGUGAAAUUGAACUCGCUGUGAAGAUGCAGUGUACCCGCGGCAAGACGGAAAGACCCCGUGAACCUUUACUAUAGCUUGACACUGAACAUUGAGCCUUGAUGUGUAGGAUAGGUGGGAGGCUUUGAAGUGUGGACGCCAGUCUGCAUGGAGCCGACCUUGAAAUACCACCCUUUAAUGUUUGAUGUUCUAACGUGGGCCCCUUUACCGGGGUUGCGGACAGUGUCUGGUGGGUAGUUUGACUGGGGCGGUCUCCUCCUAAAGAGUAACGGAGGAGCACGAAGGUUGGCUAAUCCUGGUCGGACAUCAGGAGGUUAGUGCAAUGGCAUAAGCCAGCUUGACUGCGAGCGUGACGGCGCGAGCAGGUGCGAAAGCAGGUCAUAGUGAUCCGGUGGUUCUGAAUGGAAGGGCCAUCGCUCAACGGAUAAAAGGUACUCCGGGGAUAACAGGCUGAUACCGCCCAAGAGUUCAUAUCGACGGCGGUGUUUGGCACCUCGAUGUCGGCUCAUCACAUCCUGGGGCUGAAGUAGGUCCCAAGGGUAUGGCUGUUCGCCAUUUAAAGUGGUACGCGAGCUGGGUUUAGAACGUCGUGAGACAGUUCGGUCCCUAUCUGCCGUGGGCGCUGGAGAACUGAGGGGGGGCUGCUCCUAGUACGAGAGGACCGGAGUGGACGCAUCACUGGUGUUCGGGUUGUCAUGCCAAUGGCACUGCCCGGUAGCUAAAUGCGGAAGAGAUAAGUGCUGAAAGCAUCUAAGCACGAAACUUGCCCCGAGAUGAGUUCUCCCUGACUCCUUGAGAGUCCUGAAGGAACGUUGAAGACGACGACGUUGAUAGGCCGGGUGUGUAAGCGCAGCGAUGCGUUGAGCUAACCGGUACUAAUGAACCGUGAGGCUUAACCU
rnacentral:rRNA from 1 species